rnacentral:rRNA from 1 species
CACGUAGGGCGCAAGCGUUGUCCGGAAUUAUUGGGCGUAAAGAGCUCGUAGGCGGUCUGUUGCGUCCGCUGUGAAAACUCGGGGCUUAACCCCGAGCCUGCAGUGGAUACGGGCAGACUAGAGGUAGGUAGGGGAGAAUGGAAUUCCCGGUGUAGCGGUGAAAUGCGCAGAUAUCGGGAAGAACACCCGUGGCUAAGGCGGCUCUCUAGUACGGUACUGACGCUGAGACGCGAAAGCGUGGGGAGCGAACAGG